AGAUAUUUCUGGAUGUCGAGUAUUAUGUCAGGACAGAAUGAGAAACUUCUUACCAAUAAUGAACCGAGUUAUGCUGGUUGGUGACCGAUUCAAAUCUAACAUUUGCAGCAGAAAACUUAACUUAUAUUGAUAGGUCAUGUAGCCGUUUUGUGUCAGGUUUAUUUUCUAGGCAGCAUGACCCAUAUGAGGCACGUUUUAGGGGGAGUUUUUCUAUUUUUAGACUUUUAGGGUUUAGGAUUAGGAAUUUAGGGUUUGGAUUAUGGAAAGGUCAGGAUUAGGGUUAGAAUUAGAGUAAGGGGUAGGUUUAGGGUUAGGAUUAGGGUUAAGUUUAAAACACAAAAGAAUACAAAAUGACAAAAGUCUAAAAAUAAUAACUCCCCCUAAAACGUGAUAUAAGCAUGACUUGCCGAAAGACUGGUGGGAGGUGAAGCAAAAAAUGAUUUUUUUAAAUUUGAAUCUUCGCUUCGUGCGAAGAAAUUGGGCUAGCUGAACACCGCGGUUUUAGGCCAUGAAAUCUGAAGACGUAACUAAAUACUGUCUUUGAAGGUUGUCUUAUUUGGUGCUGACGUGUUUACUGCAUAUUUCUAUGUUAUGACAAUGUUAUUUUACAAUCCAUGUUUCUGCUAAGCUCAUCUCGACUGAAAACGGUUAUAUGACUUAUUUGAGAAACAUUUAUGCUCUCUUUAGUAGCAUAAAGCCACAUGCACACCAAAAUCAUUCGCACACUAAUUAGAGAGCUUCAGAUUUGACUACCGCUACCACCUCUCACUGGUUUAGUAAACAUCUGAUUGGUUGAUCGGAUAUAUCAAACGCAUCUGAUUGGUUAAUCGGAUAUAUCAAACGCAUUUGAUUGGUUAAUGGUCCCUUAAUGGUAGCGGUAGUGGACGUCAAAUCUGAACUUCGCUAUUAUUACACAUCCGUGGAACACACAGAUCUAGAUUGCAACUUAUUUAACGGAUUUUGGUUUUAUCGAAAAUGGUACUUUAAUUUGUUUAAACUAUUUUCACCAAAUAAUUUAUAUCUAGUAUAUAGAGCUCACUGGUUUGCUAUAGGAAAUGACUAGAUAUAUAAGCCGGGAUGGAUCCAGCCAGAUAAGGUGUUGGGGUGGGUGUGUGCUUAUCGACCCAUGGGCAUGGGUCACGGUUCUGGGUGCGACCUUUGACCAAGUUCAUAAUCAUUUGGAGCUACGCACAGUAGUGUUCUGUAGAAUGCGCGAAACAUUGCCCCUGAAAGGAUUCAGGAGCAUUUUUGUGGUAAUGGUGACAGCAUAUAGCAUUUCCAAAAUGAAUGAAAUCGAUAUUAAAUUGGCACCCCAGGGCUAAGGGGGUGCGCCCCCCCCCUGCACCCACUGUAAAUCCAUCCCUGCUUAUAAAAACUAUACUUUUGAACUCGAAAGCCCUGGAAUUUUCCAUCUCGACAUGUACAGAGCUUUGGUAAAAUUAACCUAACCUCGAAAUUAACUUUAUAUUUUUGGACAGUUAUUCUGAUCGGAUAGCAAUAAGGUUUUUGUCUUCAAUAUAUCGAGGAAAGGAAUGAAGUGUUCCAAAUCUCCAAAGAAUGAAGCGUUCCAGAUCUUUUUGAGUUCACUGUUAUAUUUACAAGAUCUGUUUAUAAUUAGGAUAGGAUUAUUUUUGGAUUGGGUAAAGGAUAAAAAUUAAGAAUAGUUUAUAUAUUGCAGUUUUGCUGUCGUUUUCUUCCAUUCAUAACGCAUGUACUCGUUCACAUAAUUCAGAAG
rnacentral:lncRNA from 1 species